rnacentral:rRNA from 1 species
AGAGUUUGAUCCUGGCUCAGAAUGAACGCUGGCGGCAUGCCUAACACAUGCAAGUCGAGCGAGAAAGUUCCUUCGGGGAUUAGUACAGCGGCGGACGGGUGAGUAACACGUGAGAACCUGCCCUUUAGUGAAGAAUAACUUUGAGAAAUUGGAGUUAAUACUGCAUACGUCCCUUCGGGGAGAAAGGUGGCUUUUAUGCUGCCGCUAAAGGAUGGGCUUGCGCGCUAUUAGCUAGUUGGUAGGGUAAAGGCCUACCAAGGCUAUGAUGGCUAGCCGGCCUGAGAGGGUGUACGGCCACAUUGGAACUGAGAUACGGUCCAGACUCCUACGGGAGGCAGCAGUGGGGAAUAUUGCGCAAUGGGCGGAAGCCUGACGCAGCAAUGCCGCGUGGAGGAUGAAGGUUUUCGGAUCGUAAACUUCUGUUAGGUGGGAAGAAAGGUUUGAGGUUAAUAGCUUCAGAUUAUGACGGUACACCAGAGAAAGCACCGGCUAACUUCGUGCCAGCAGCCGCGGUAAUACGAGGGGUGCUAGCGUUAUUCGGAAUUACUGGGCGUAAAGGGUGUGUAGACGGCGUAUCAAGUCUAUUGUUAAAUUCUCCGGCUCAACCGGAGGUAUGCGGUGGAAACUGGUAUGCUAGAGGAUGAGAGAGAGAAGUGGAAUUCUCGGAGUAGCGGUAAAAUGCGUAGAUCUCGAGAGGAACACCAGUGGCGAAGGCGGCUUCUUGGCUCAUUUCUGACGUUGAGACACGAAAGCGUGGGUAGCAAACAGGAUUAGAUACCCUGGUAGUCCAUGCCGUAAACGAUGACCACUAGACGUUAGCCUGGCUUGCCGGGUUAGUGUCAAAGCUAACGCGUUAAGUGGUUCGCCUGGGAAGUACGGUCGCAAGACUAAAACUUAAAGGAAUUGACGGGGGUCCGCACAAGCGGUGGAACAUGUGGUUUAAUUCGACAGUCCGCGAGGAACCUUACCUGGACUUGACAUGCAUUUGAUCGCUGUGGAAAUACAGUUUUUCAAGCUUCGGCUUGGACGGAUGCACAGGUGCUGCAUGGCCGUCGUCAGCUCGUGUCGUGAGAUGUUGGGUUAAGUCCUUUAACGAGCGCAACCCUUGCUAUCAGUUGCUAUUUGCCCUUGAGGUGAAGCACUCUGAUGGGACUGCCUGGGAAACCAGGAGGAAGGUGGGGAUGACGUCAGGUCGUCAUGGUCCUUAUGUCCAGGGCGACACACGUGUUACAAUGGCCGGUACAACGGGUAGCAAUCCUGUAAAGGUGAGCCAAUCCUUAUAAGCCGGUCUAAGUUCGGAUUGAGGUCUGCAACUCGACCUCAUGAAGUUGAAAUCGCUAGUAAUCGCGCAUCAGAACGGCGCGGUGAAUACGUUCCCGGGCCUUGUACACACCGCCCGUCACACCAUGAAAGCUGUUUGUGCCCGAAAUCGUCUUAGCUAACCCGAAAGGGAGGCGGGCGCCUAAGGCAUGGGUGGUGAUUGGGGUGAAGUCGUAACAAGGUA